UUUCCUAGGUAUUGUUCAGGUUGUCUCCAAUUCAGUGGGGCUUAUGUUGAGCGGUUGGUUGCAAUGGUUGGGAGCAGUGAUGGUAUCUCCUUUAGGCAAGCCAAACUAAUAUACUCUUCCUGAAGGUACAGACUGAUAGAAAUAAACGGAUGAUUUUCAAGGUGUUAAAACCAGAAGGAACCUGUUGGCACAGAAAGCCAGAUAGAUGUCUAAAUAGGAGUUGAAGAACAAGGUGUAGGUAUAACCAACUGUAAUCAUGAGGAAGAGAUCACUUUGGUCUCAGCACAUCUGCUGCACGUUGAAACGCUUCCCCGCGCCUCUGAGGUUGAAAGGGAAGAUGUGAGGGAUGUUUUCCCCUGCUAUUCCUCUUGCUUGGCUCGGAGUCCCACUGAGCGAUGGGAGUCGAGUACCGGUGGCUGAGAUGCAAGCAAAUAAAGUCCACUGGCAAAGUGGUAGCAGGCUGCAUGGGAGGCCAGUUUUACCCUAAAUCCGCUGGUUUCUCUAAAAGAGGUUGCUCCAGCAAGGACCAGGGCUGAGGU